rnacentral:rRNA from 1 species
UACGAAGGGAGCUAGCGUUGUUCGGAAUCACUGGGCGUAAAGCGCACGUAGGCGGAUGUGUCAGUCAGGGGUGAAAUCCCGGAGCUCAACUUCGGAACUGCCUUUGAUACAGCACGUCUUGAGUCCGAUAGAGGUGGGUGGAAUUCCUAGUGUAGAGGUGAAAUUCGUAGAUAUUAGGAGGAACACCUGUGGCGAAGGCGGGUCUCUGGACAGUUCCUGACGCUGAGGCACGAAGGUCAGGGGAGCAAACGGG